rnacentral:rRNA from 1 species
AAUGAACGCUGGCGGCGUGCCUAAUACAUGCAAGUCGAGCGAACGGACUAGAGGCUUGCGUCUCUGAUGUUAGCGGCGGACGUGGGAGUAACACGUUGAUAACCUACCUAUAAAACUGGAAUAACGUCGAUAAACCGGAGCUAAUACCGGAUAAUAUUUUAAACCGCAUGGUUCAAAAUUGAAAGACGGUCUUGCUUUCACUUGUAUAUGGAUCCGCGCUGCAUUAGCUAGUUGGUAAGGUAACGGCUUACCAAGGCAACGAUGCAUAGCCGACAUGAGAGGGUGAUCGGCCACACUGGAACUGAGAAACGGUCCAGACUCCUACGGGAGGAAGCAGCAGGGAAUCUUCCGCAAUGGGAGAAAGCGUGACGGAGCAACGCCGCGUGAGUGAUGAAGGUCUUCGGAUCGUAAAACUCUGUUAUUAGGGAAGAACAUAUGUGUAAGUAACUGUGAACAUAUUGACGGUACCUAAUCAGAAAGCCACGGCUAACUACGUG